rnacentral:rRNA from 1 species
CCUACGGGGUGCAGCAGUGAGGAAUAUUGGUCAAUGGACGCAAGUCUGAACCAGCCAUGCCGCGUGCAGGAAGACGGCUCUAUGAGUUGUACACUGCUUUUGUACGCGGGUAAACGCAGAUACGCGUAUCUGUCUGAAAGUAUCGUACGAAUAAGGAUCGGCUAACUCCGUGCCAGCAGCCGCGGUAAUACGGAGGAUUCAAGCGUUAUCCGGAUUUAUUGGGUUUAAGGGGUGCGUAGGCGGUCGGAUAAGUUAGAGGUGAAAUCCCGAGGCUCAACUUCGGAAUUGCCUCUGAUACUGUUCGGCUAGAGAGUAGUUGCGGUAGGCGGAAUGUAUGGUGUAGCGGUGAAAUGCUUAGAGAUCAUACAGAACACCGAUUGCGAAGGCAGCUUACCAAGCUACUUCUGACGUUGAGGCACGAAAGCGUGGGGAGCAAACAGGAUAGAUACCCGUGUAGUC